rnacentral:tRNA from 1 species
GGCGAGGUAGCUCAAGUAUGUAGAGCAGCCGGUGGUUAAUCGGCAGGUUGUUGGUGCGAAUCCAACCUUUGCCA